CACACACAUUCUGCCUUCAGGAACCUGGAGUUGUCCACGGGCAGCCAGGCAGUGUAACGAAGGCAAAUGAGAGCCCAAGAGAGCAGACA
rnacentral:lncRNA from 1 species